rnacentral:rRNA from 1 species
UACAGAGGGUGCGAGCGUUAAUCGGAAUUACUGGGCGUAAAGCGUGCGCAGACGGUCACGUAAGUCGGGUGUGAAAGCCCCGGGCUCAACCUGGGAAUUGCAUUCGAGACUGCGUAGCUAGGGUGCGGAAGAGGGAAGCGGAAUUUCCGGUGUAGCGGUGAAAUGCGUAGAUAUCGGAAGGAACACCAGUGGCGAAAGCGGCUUCCUGGUCCAGCACCGACGUUCAGGCACGAAAGCGUGGGGAGCAAACAGG